AUCUUUUAUUCAUUCAGUAGUUAAUGUAGAUUAUUGAUGCAAAAACUCCUAAUGAAAGUUGAGCUUUUAAUCUUUUGUUCAAUGCUUAUAUAGAAUAAUUGGUUGAAAAGGAGCAAUUCCCUCGAUGUCAAACUCUAUAGAUUUGGUGCUUGUACAUUGGUUAAGGAAGGUGAAACACCAAAUCUCUUAUAUGGGAAUGCUUUGAAUACUCUCCUAGCGAUGAUUGAUGGUUUGAAUCAUAGGACAAGAUAGAAUUAAUGGAAGUUCAAAUGUCCACCCUACAAGGUAGUGUGACAUCUAUUGAUGGAAGGAUGGUUUAUUUAAACUCUUAUCAGUCCACUCCACAAAACUACAAAAACUCUUCAAGUAGAUAGACCCACAAAACAUCUACUAAUAUCACCCUCAGAACCUUUCAUCAAAUGUUAUAUCCACCCUUACAAGAAGAUGCUCCAUACAUAGAAACCACUACUAAAAAAAAUAUCCCAAAGCCCAUUUGACUAUUACACCUCCAUCUUAACCAAGUUAACCAAAAAGCUCCACCAAAUCAAGAUCCACCUCACCAAAUAUCACAAAACCAAGAUCCUCCACCCCAAACUCAAAAAAACCAUAACCUAUUACAUGGUAUACCAUAUAACAAAAACUUACCAAUCCAAGUUUAGGACGUAAAGUAAAAUUCAACAAGAUGAGUACGUGUGCUAAGAUGAAAAGAUUCUACAAAAUUAAGAACAAUGUAUGGUACUAAGUGGUAAAGUUAGACAUAGAGGUAAAGAAGAAAGAUUUGGUUUGAUUCGAUAUGGUAGGGGAAGUUAUGGUAACUAACCUCAAGGUAUGGGAUAAAGUAAUACAAAAUGUCAGUAAAGGUCAAAGGCAAGGGUUAGGAGAAGAUUAUGGUGACCUCAAUAAAUGAGAAGUAGGUUACAUUUACAAUCAAAGUGGAGGUGUUCGAGGAAAUUAUCAUGGGGUCCAGGGGAAAUGGAGGGACAAAUUUGUAUAUCAAUUUUAUUAAAAAAAAUUUCCAAUGUUCAAGAGGGAUUAUGGACCUCAAGCUAAUCUAACCUAAUAUUUGACUUGUGAUAGAAUUUUCUAAGAUAUUGAUGUAAUAAAUUAAUUCUGUGAACUUUAUUUUUCUUA